rnacentral:rRNA from 1 species
UACGGGGGGGGCUAGCGUUGUUCGGAAUUACUGGGCGUAAAGCGCGCGUAGGCGGUUGUUCAAGUCAGGUGUGAAAGCCUUGAGCUCAACUCAAGAAAUGCACUUGAUACUGGAUGACUAGAGGACCGGAGAGGAUAGUGGAAUUCCCAGUGUAGUGGUGAAAUACGUAGAGAUUGGGAAGAACACCAGUGGCGAAGGCGGCUAUCUGGACGGUUUCUGACGCUAAGACGCGAAAGCGUGGGGAGCAAACAGG